rnacentral:rRNA from 1 species
GAUGAACGCUGGCGGCGUGCCUAAUACAUGCAAGUCGAGCGAACAGACGAGGAGCUUGCUCCUCUGACGUUAGCGGCGGACGGGUGAGUAACACGUGGAUAACCUACCUAUAAGACUGGGAUAACUUCGGGAAGCCGGAGCUAAUACCGGAUAAUAUAUUGAACCGCAUGGUUCAAUAGUGAAAGACGGUUUUGCUGUCACUUAUAGAUGGAUCCGCGCUGCAUUAGCUAGUUGGUAAGGUAACGGCUUACCAAGGCAACGAUGCGUAGCCGACCUGAGAGGGUGAUCGGCCACACUGGAACUGAGACACGGUCCAGACUCCUACGGGAGGCAGCAGUAGGGAAUCUUCCGCAAAGGGCGAAAGCCUGACGGAGCAACGCCGCGUGAGUGAUGAAGGUCUUCGGAUCGUAAAACUCUGUUAUUAGGGAAGAACAAAUGUGUAAGUAACUAUGCACGUCUUGACGGUACCUAAUCAGAAAGCCACGGCUAACUACGUG